GACGAACGCUGGCGGCGUGCCUAAUACAUGCAAGUCGAACGCAGUGGGGACGGGUGAGUAAAACGUGGGUAACCUCCCAUCAGAGGGGAUAACACUUGGAAACAGGUGCUAAACCGCUACUGAUGGAUGAACCCGCGGUGCAUUAGCUAGUGGGGGGGGUAACGGCUCACCAAGGCCACGAUGCAUAGCUGGCCUGAGAGGGUGAUCGGCCACACUGGGACUGAGACACGGUCCAGACUCCUACGGGAGGCAGCAGUAGGGAAUCUUCGGCAAUGGGCGAAAGUCUGAUGGAGCAAUGCCGCGUGGAUGAAGAAGGCUUUCGGAUCGUAAAGCUCUGUUGGUGAGGAGGCGGUAUCUACCCAGAAAGCCACGGCUAACUCCGUGCCAGCCGCCGCGGUAAUAC
rnacentral:rRNA from 1 species